UGUACCCUUAGGAAAAGAAAUCAAUUGAGAUUCCCUCAGUAGCGGCGAGCGAACGGGGAUCAGCCCAUUAAGUUAUGUGUGUUUUAGUGGAACGCUCUGGGAAGUGCGAACGUAGAGGGUGAUAUUCCCGUACACGAAAGGGCACACAUAAUGAUGACGAGUAGGGCGAGGCACGUGAAACCUUGUCUGAAUAUGGGGGGACCAUCCUCCAAGGCUAAAUACUCCUGACUGACCGAUAGUGAACCAGUACCGUGAGGGAAAGGCGAAAAGAACCCCUGUGAGGGGAGUGAAAUAGAUCCUGAAACCGCAUGCAUACAAGCAGUGGGAGCACCUUCGUGGUGUGACUGCGUACCUUUUGUAUAAUGGGUCAGCGACUUAUAUUCAGUAGCGAGGUUAACCGUAUAGGGGAGCCGUAGAGAAAUCGAGUCUUAAUAGGGCGUUUAGUUGCUGGGUAUAGACCCGAAACCAGGCGAUCUAUCCAUGAGCAGGUUGAAGGUUGGGUAACACUAACUGGAGGACCGAACCCACUGUCGUUGAAAAGCCAGGGGAUGACUUGUGGAUAGGGGUGAAAGGCUAAUCAAGCCUGGUGAUAGCUGGUUCUCCCCGAAAGCUAUUUAGGUAGCGCCUCGGACGAAUACCAUAGGGGGUAGAGCACUGUUUCGGCUAGGGGGUCAUCCCGACUUACCAAACCGAUGCAAACUCCGAAUACCUAUGAGUACUAUCCGGGAGACAGACUGCGGGUGCUAACGUCCGUAGUCAAGAGGAAAACAAUCCAGACCGCCAGCUAAGGCCCCAAAAUCAUAGUUAAGUGGGAAACGAUGUGGGAAGGCAUAGACAGCUAGGAGGUUGGCUUAGAAGCAGCCACCCUUUAAAGAAAGCGUAAUAGCUCACUAGUCGAGUCGCCCUGCGCGGAAGAUGUAACGGGGCUAAAACUAUGUGCCGAAGCUGCGGAUGUAUACUUUGUAUACGUGGUAGGGGAGCGUUCUGUAAGCCGAUGAAGGUGUGUUGAGAAGCAUGCUGGAGGUAUCAGAAGUGCGAAUGCUGACGUGAGUAACGACAAAACGGGUGAAAAACCCGUUCGCCGAAAGACCAAGGGUUCCAGUCCAACGUUAAUCGGGGCUGGGUGAGUCGACCCCUAAGGCGAGGCCGAAAGGCGUAGUCGAUGGGAAAAUGGUUAAUAUUCCAUUUGAAGACACAAAUGCGAUGAGAGGACGGAGAAGGCUAAAUCAGCCUGGCGUUGGUUGUCCAGGUGAAAGGAUGUAGGCAUGUAUCUUAGGCAAAUCCGGGGUACUCUAUGCUGAGAUCUGAUAGCAAGCUGUACUUGUACAGCGAAGUGGUUGAUGCCAUGCUUCCAGGAAAAGUCUCUAAGCUUCAGUUACACAGGAAUCGUACCCGAAACCGACACAGGUGGUCAGGUCGAGUAGACCAAGGCGCUUGAGAGAACUCUGCUGAAGGAACUAGGCAAAAUGGUACCGUAACUUCGGGAGAAGGUACGCUGUUGUUGGUGAUGGAACUCGCUUCCUGAGCUGACGACAGCCGCAGAAACCAGGCCGCUGCAACUGUUUAUUAAAAACAUAGCACUCUGCAAACACGAAAGUGGACGUAUAGGGUGUGA
rnacentral:rRNA from 1 species